UGGAUGGAUAUACCACAUUGUCUGUCCAUUCAUCAGUUCAUGGACAUUUUGGGUGUUUCCACUUUGUGGCUAUUAUGAAUAAUGAGGUUAUAAACGUUCAUCCCUAAGUUUUUGCAUGCAUGUAUAUUUUGAAUUCCCUUUGAUAUACACCUAAGAGUGAAAUUAUUGGGUCAAAUGAUAACUCUAACUUUUUGAGGAACUGCCAAAGUGUUUUCCAAAGUAGCUGCACCAUUUUGUAAUCCCAAGCAAUGUAUGAGGGUUUGCAUUUUUCCACAUCCUCACCGACAUUUGUUAUUAUCUGUCUUUUUUAUUUUAACCAUCCUAGUGUGUGUGAAUGGUAUCUCAUUGUGGUUUUUGAUUUGCAUUUCCUGAUGACUAAUGAUGUUGAGCAUCUUUUCAUGUAUUCAUUGGCCAUUUGUUUAUCUUCUUUGGAGCAAUACAUGUCUAUUCACAUGCUUUGCCCAUUUAAAAAUUGGAUUAUUUGUCUUUUUAUUGUUUAGUUGUAAGAGUUUUUAACAAAUACAUUCUGGAUAUAAGUUCAUAUCAGAUGAUUUAAAAUAUUUUUCAUAAUCUAUGGGCUUCAGAUAUAAAGUUUUAACUUUUCUAAUGGUGUCCUUUGAAGCACAGGUUUUAAAAUUUGUUGUUUAAUUUAUUUGGUUUUUCCUUUUGUUGCUUGUGCUGUAGUUGUCAUAUCUAAGAAACAAUGAUGUAAUCCAAGGUUACAAAUAUUUACACCUAUAUUUUCUUCUAAGAGUUGUAUAGUUUAGCUCUUACAUGUAUGUGUUUAACCCAUUUUAAUUUUUAUAUUUUGUGUGAGGUAAGAACCAUUUUUUUGUAAUCCAAUUCAUUCUUCUGCAUGUGACUAUCUAGUUAAUCAAGUAUGCUUUUAAUAUAUAGUGAAUAUAUCAGCAGAAGUUGAAUGGUGUUUGAGAACAUAAUAAACCUCAAUAAUUCAGAUUUCACUACAUUCAAAACUAAUAAUAAUUUGAAUAUUGACUUAUUGUGUUAGUUAUAAAGACUUCCCUAAGAAAAUUAUUGAUAAACAGAAUCAUAGCAGAAUGUUAGUAUACAUAGCAAUUUCCUCUGCCAAUCUGUUAACUGUAACCAUUUGUUCUCAAAUGUUAUUUAUAAUAUUUUUAUUUCCUUAUUAAAAAAACUGUUUCACACCGGUUUAGUUGGGCUCUGAAUUGCACAGAACAGAGAUGUUCAUCAUUAAACUUAAUUUAAAAAUAGUUUACUGGAAUGAAUCAGAAAGCUAUCAGAAUCUACUCCUGAGAAGGCUUUUUGUUAUUUAGUUCACAUUUGAGAAAGAAGGGAGGCUUUUUGGUACAAUAAGAUGGAAAAGCUAUGUAGGAAGGGGAUCAGCUCCCCAUGGCAGAAUGUCCUAAUUUUCUUUAGAUAACUCAUCCUGAGACUGAUGGCCUUCCUCUUCUCUCCAUUCUCAGGAAUAAAAGCACUCCUAAUGCAACUGGAGCCCAGAGGGUGAACAGAGCUUAGAGCUUCCAUAUAGGUAAGUGGUUAAAAGGACAGAGGGCUGUGGAAAGGUUUCAAAGGAGAAGCUCUGUACCCUGCGUAGGGAGUGGCCAUGUGGGACACCCCCAAAACCUGGAAAUAGGGUCCCAGUUUUAGAAAGAUGAGGAGUAGAAGGACUGACUUCUCCUCAUCUUUCCAACUCUAUAUGGAUUUAAUUUUAUUUUGUUGAUGCUAUAGCAAGAAAUUACUGGUACAGAGUUGGGGGUUUUAUAUGUGUUACCUAACCUUUUUAUCUUAUGCAUACAGAGACACAGAGGGGGGCAAGCAUGGUGGGAGAUGAUGCAUCUUCCCUUUCUGAUCAGGUUGGAUGCCUAACUUCCAUCAGUGAGGUGUGUACCGAGAGUCAUUAGCCAAACAAGUUUUCCAUUUUCUUCCCCUGACUAUUAUUCCUGGCUUCCAUACUUGUCUCUGAGUUAUGGGGCACUAUGCUUGUGUUACAUCGAGACUUCUGGGGAAUUGACUACUCUUUCUGUGACUUGUAUGUGUGUUUCUCGCUAAACUGCUUCAUUUUCUUCUGACUUUGCCUACUCACCCUCUCUUCUAUGCAAUUUCUCUAACUCAUUGAUUCUGCAUACUUAUGGUUACUAAUCACUUCUAACAGUCGGAUAUAACCCCUGUCACCCUUGAUUCUACAUCACAGUCCCUCUGCCUUCUUUCACCUUUGGUUCCCCUGGCUCAUUUCAGAUUCCUGCAAGAGGGAACUGGGUUGGUCCAGCUCAGCCUUUUGCACCAGUCCUCCUCAUGUGUGACCAACCAGCUUUUAGGUUGCUCAUCAGCUACUCUCUGACUUACCUGCUUUGCUGGGCAUUAGGUUCAUGAGUCUUACAACUGGCCAUCUGAAGCCCAAGGAGUAGAGUUAGUGAUCUUGGAGUACCUCAGGGGCUGCUUCUUCACCAUCUUCUUUGCUACUUCCUCUUCUCUCUGACAUGAAAAACUUGGAAAUUCAGGUCUCAGCUCUGUUCCCACAUCUCUUCUUCAAUAGAGUUUAGAUUGAUUUUUUUAUCCAGAUUGCCUGGGUCAAAAUCCUGGCUCCACUAUUUUUUUUUUUUUUUGAGACAGAGUUUUGCUCUGUCGUCCAGGCUGGAGUAUAGUGGCGCUAUCUCAGCUCACUGCAACUUUCUCCUUCCGGGUUCAAGCAAAUCUCUGCCUCAGCCUCCCGAGUAGCUGGGAUUACAAGCGCCCACCAUCACGCCCUGCUAAUUUUUGUGUUUUUAGUAGAGAAGGGGUUUCACCAUCUUGGCCAGGCUGGUCUUGAACUUCUGACCUCGUGGUCCACCUGCCUCAGCCUCCCAAAGUGCUGGGGUGAGCCACCACACCCGGCUGGCACCACUAUUUAAAUAGUUGUAUAAGGUUGGGCAAGUGAAUUAACCUCUCUGUGCCUCAGUAUCCUUAUCUGUGAAAUGAGGCUUGUAGAUUCCUACAAGCCUGGGCAACAUAAGGGGACCUCAUCUCCACAAAAAAAUAAAAAAUUAGCUGGGCAUGGUGGUGUGCAUCUGUAGUCUUAGCUACUGUGGGGGCUAAGAUGGGAGGGUCACUUGAGCCCAGGAGUUUGAGGCUGCAGUGAACUAUGAUUGUGCCAUUGCACUCCAGCCUCGGCAACAGAGUGAGACCCUCUCAUACACACAAAAAAGAACAGCGGCUGGCAAAUAGAAUGCACUUAGUAAGUAUUAGACAUAAGUAUUUUAUAUUAAUAUUCAUUUUUUGAUAUAUACAAUUUCUCUGUAGGUAAUUUCUCCACUCCUAUGGCUUUCCUAGUCCUGAAUUGCCACUGAAUUCCAGUUUCACAGCCUCAUAAAAUCAUCAUAUAACUAACUGUGGGAGGCAAGAUUCCAAUAUGGCCUCCCAAAUUCCUGUCCCCUGGUGUACAUACUCUGUAUAAUCCCUUACUCUUGAUUAUGAGUGGACUCUGAAU
rnacentral:lncRNA from 10 species